rnacentral:rRNA from 1 species
AUGAAUAAAGCACUUGCAAUUUUGGAAAUGACAAUGGGUAUAUUUAUAACAUUAACUAAAGCUUAUUUAUUUCUCUUCAUUUCUAUCACAAUAAGAUGGACUUUACCAAGGAUGAGAAUGGAUCAGUUAUUAAAUCUUGGAUGGAUUUUUUUACCUAUUUCCCUGGGCAAUCUCUUAUUAACAACCUCUUCUCAACUUGUUUCACUAUAA